rnacentral:rRNA from 1 species
GAUGAACGCUGGCGGCGUGCCUAAUACAUGCAAGUCGAGCGAACAGACGAGGAGCUUGCUCCUCUGACGUUAGCGGCGGACGGGUGAGUAACACGUGGAUAACCUACCUAUAAGACUGGGAUAACUUCGGGAAACCGGAGCUAAUACCGGAUAAUAUAUUGAACCGCAUGGUUCAAUAGUGAAAGACGGUUUUGCUGUCACUUAUAGAUGGAUCCGCGCCGCAUUAGCUAGUUGGUAAGGUAACGGCUUACCAAGGCAACGAUGCGUAGCCGACCUGAGAGGGUGAUCGGCCACACUGGAACUGAGACACGGUCCAGACUCCUACGGGAGGCAGCAGUAGGGACUCUUCCGCAAUGGGCGAAAGCCUGACGGAGCAACGCCGCGUGAGUGAUGAAGGUCUUCGGAUCGUAAAACUCUGUUAUUAGGGAAGAACAAAUGUGUAAGUAACUAUGCACGUCUUGACGGUACCUAAUCAGAAAGCCACGGCUAACUACGU